AGUCAUUCGACUGUCUAAGAUUAGCCAUGCAAGUCUAAGUAUAAACAUUUAUACUGUGAAACUGCGGAUAGCUCAUUAUAUCAGUUAUAGUUUAUUUGAUGGUACCCUACUACAUGGAUAACCGUAGUAAUUCUAGAGCUAAUACAUGCCACGAAAUUUCGACCUCAAGGAAGAAAGGUACUUAUUAGAUACAAAGUCAUUCGUUUUACGAUUGUUUGGUGAAUCAUAAUAAUUUUUCGAAUCGUACAGCUUUAUGCUGACGAUGGGUCAUUCAAAUUUCUGCCCUAUCAGCUGUGAUGUUAGUGUAUUGUACUAACAUGGCUUAGACGGGUGACGGAGGAUUAGGGUCUGAUUCCGGAGAGGGAGCCUGAGAAACGGCUACCACUUCCAAGGAAGGCAGCAGGCGCGUAAAUUACCCAAUCCCAAUACGGGGAGGUAGUGACAAGAAAUAACAAUACCGGGCUUUUACAAGUCUGGUAAUUGGAAUGAGUACAAUGUAAAACCCUUAACGAGAAUCUAUUGGAGGGCAAGUCUGGUGCCAGCAGCCGCGGUAAUACCAGCUCCAAAAGCGUAUAUUAACGUUGUUGCAGUUAAAAGGCUCGUAGUCGAAUUUGUGAUCUAGCAUACACAGUCCAGUGUCUAGUACACUGUGCGCUUUUGUAUUCAGGUCAUCUUUCUGGCCAACAUAACUGCUCUUGAUUGAGUUGGUUUUGUCAUCCAGAUCAUUUACUGUGAGUAAAUCAAAGUGUUCAAAGCAGGCUUAAAGCCUUGAAUGCUCUAGCAUGGAAUAAUACAAUAGGACUUCGGUUUUAUUUGUUGGCUUCUAAAAUCAAAGUAAUGAUUGAAAGAGAUAGUUGGGGGGUGCUAGUAUUUAACGGUCAGCGGUGAAAUGCAUAGACCCGUUAAAGACUAACAUAUGCGAAAGCAUUCACCAAGGAUAUCUUCUUUGAUCAAGAACGAAAGUUUGGGGGAUCGAAGACGAUCAGAUACCGUCGUAGUCUCAAUCCAUAAACUAUGCAACUGGGAGAUUGGGCGGAAGUUGAUUAGACUCGUCAGCAUCCUCAGAAGAAAUCAAGUCUUGGGUUCUGGGGGGAGUAUGGUCGCAAGCUGAAAACUUAAAGAACGACCGAUGCACCACAGGAUUGAGCUGCGCUAAUGGACUCAACACGGGAAAACUUGACUAAGGACCGGGACUAG
rnacentral:rRNA from 1 species